rnacentral:misc_RNA from 1 species
GAUGAAGAACGUAGCGAAAUGCGAUAAGUAAUGUGAAUUGCAGAUUUCAGUGAAUCAUCGAAUCUUUGAACGCACCUUGCGCUCCUUGGUAUUCCGAGGAGCAUGCCUGUUUGAGUGUCAUUAAAUUCUCAACUCUCCAACUGUUGUCAUGACUGGUGGUAGAGCUUGGACGUGAGGGUUCUGCCGGCUCCUUGUUGAGUCUGGCUACCUUGAAAAUGAUUAGCGCAGCUUUGCACUGUCCGCUUCAGGUGUGAUAAUUUAUCUCCGCCCGACCAGCGACGCGCAUGAAUGGCUUUGUGCUUCUAACCGUCUCGAAAGAGACAAUACCUUUUGAACUUGACCUCAAAUCAGGUAGGACUACCCGCUGAACUUAAGCAUAUCAAUAAGCGGAGGA